CGCGCGCUCUUCGCUCCGCGCCAGCCCGGGGUAACGAUUGAAGGUCGCGGCUUAACACUCAACGAUAAAAAGGAUGAACUAUCGAUGCACCCAGCAGCCUGUGCGAGUCUGCAGAGAAUUAUGCUGAAGGAAAAAUGCCGAUCCCAAAAUGCACUUUCUGGCUUGUAACACCUCAUUUGGUAGCCCACCUGCCACUGCGAGCCACCCGAGGACCCUCCCCAAACGCUCUGCCUUGAUUUCUGGUGUCCUGGGAUGGCCCUAUAGAGCAGAAGGGAGGUUUUCCCCGCUUGUGUAAAGUUCCUAAUGAAAAUAACUGCAGCUGCUGUUUGCACACCAGCGUCAGGCGGUGGUCUGUCUGCGGCUGAUGUUUUCCUUGGGUUCAGAAGUGAGGACAUGGCCUCGCUGUGGCAUGCUCUCGUGCCAGCAGGAGACACAGGCCACCUUGUCCUGUGAGCCCAGGGGGUCCUGGGGGACGUUUUCAUUUUAGCAUGACCUUUAUACGAGGGAAACGUUGUAGAGGCAUUUCCGAAUGUAUUAGAAUGUCCUCAAAGGUGAAAUUCGGUUGUUCUCCCCCCUUUCUUGUGAGACUCACUGAGAUGACGUCCUCAUAUCAUCUUUGUGUCACAGAAAGUAAAUGAGUGCAACUAAGAAAGGUAGGUGUAGGCGCUCUGAAAUAACUGAAGGCAGGCUUCCUUACAGGGAGGGCGAGUGACGCUGUCGUCCCGCGGGAGGGGUGUGUGCACGUCUUUUGUGCUACGAGGACCUAUAAGGAAAACAGCCAGACCUCCGGGUGGUGUGGAUCCCGUGGGAGGACUCGGUAACUGCGGAGCAGCAGGUGCUGGAACCAGCCCGGGAGCCGUCCAGUCCUUGGUGUGGGAAUGAAAUUGCUGAGCUCUAAGAGAGACCAAGAUGCGACAUCGCCUCUGAAAACCAGCAGGUGCAGGGAACACCUGGGGCCGCGCUUUGGUUCAAGUCCGCCACGCGACAGCACCAUCUUGUGGCCGCGCGAGGAAUCACAGGUGUGGAUGGAGCGUUGCCGGUGGGGAAGGGCAGCUGGCCGGCCCUCCUUCCCUUGGCCUUCAGGAUGGUGGAAGCGCCAGUGAUUGAUUCAGUAGGAGCCCGUCCGGCAAAGGGAAAUAACAGAACUCCCUGCUAAUCUGGCAUUUACUGCAAACAAAUACGAUGGAACCGCAUUUGUAUCCUGAGUCCAAGGAGGAGGUGGUGCUCUUAAAACGAGAUAAAUAGAUUUAGCAUCAGCUUAAUAAGCAUCGCCUCUAGGGGCUCCCCUUGCUGUGAACAAAUGCAGGCACAGGCUUAGGCAUCCCAGGCAAGGGGGCAGUUAAGCCAGCUGUAUACUUCCUCUUCUCCCCAACUCCCCGUUUGUGUUUCAGAUGAAAGUUAACAUCGAGGGCUACCUUAAGACUAAUCAAAGUAGCCUGAACUUUCUCCUAGAGAAGUAGUUACUUUUGGUUUUAUUUAAUGACUUUUCUUUCUGCUAACAGCAUCCCCUUUCUUUUUGGAAACAAACUCUUCCCAAUAACAUAGUUAUUUUUUUUAUUGUAGUAAAAUCUGUAUAACAUAAGAUUUGCCAUUUCAACCAUUUUAAGUACACAAUUCCGUGGCAUUAAUUACAUUCACAAUGUUAUGCAACAUCACUAUUUGUAUUUCCAAAAAUUCUUCAUCACCCCAAAUAGAAACUCAGUAAUCAUUAAGCAGUAACUCCCCCCUCCACCCAGGUCCUGGUAACAUAUAAUCUUCUUUCUGUCUCCAUGAAUUCGCCUAUUCUAGAUAUUUCGUACAAGUGGAAUCAUACAAUAGGUGGCCUUUUGUGUGUGGCUUACUUCACUCAGCAAAAUGUUUUCAAGGUUCAUCCAUAUCGUAACAUGUAUCAGAGCUUCAUUCCUUUCUAUGGCUGAAUACAAUUCCAUUUUAUGAAUAUACCACAUUUUGUUUAUCCUUUCAUAUGUUGAUGGACACUUGGGUCAUUUGGCUAUUGCGAAUAAUGCUGCAAUAAAUAUUGGUGCACAAGUA